GAUGAACGCUAGCGGCAGGCUUAACACAUGCAAGUCGAGGGGUAUAGUAGCAAUACUAGAGACCGGCGCACGGGUGCGUAACGCGUAUGCAACCUACCUUUUACAGAGGGAUAGCCCAGAGAAAUUUGGAUUAAUACCUCAUAGUGUUAUUAGAUGGCAUCAUUUGAUAACUAAAGUUCCAACGGUAAAAGAUGGGCAUGCGUCCUAUUAGCUAGAUGGUAAGGUAACGGCUUACCAUGGCUACGAUAGGUAGGGGUCCUGAGAGGAGAUCCCCCACACUGGUACUGAGACACGGACCAGACUCCUACGGGAGGCAGCAGUGAGGAAUAUUGGACAAUGGGCGCAAGCCUGAUCCAGCCAUGCCGCGUGCAGGGAAGAAGCAUCUAUGGUGUGUAAAACUGCUUUUGUACGGGAAGAAACACUCCUACGUGUAGGAGCUUUGACGGUACCGUAAGAAUAAGGAUCGGCUAAACUCCGUGCCAGCAGCCGCGGUAAU
rnacentral:rRNA from 1 species